AAAAUAGUAAGUCUCCUCAUUUCACGCAGGCUUUAAAAUUACAUUUCCAAGAAUAAUCUUGGAACGAGGCAAGUUUUUGUUCAAUUAAUUGUGGCUGGAAACUUUUUAAUGGAAACAUAGCACACACUUAUUCAUUUCAGGUUACUAGAUUGUGUGAAGCAUUCAAGUUAGUUGCCCUGCUUUGCUGUAGCUCAUUUGUUCUUUUUGAUCUGAAGAAAUAUUAGAAGGAUAAAGCUUAUCACAUAGGGGGAUUAAUCACGUUACCAAAAUUAGAAAGCAUGUAGUUGUGAAAAACUGAGUUGCAGAACUGUAUGCUCACAGCACUUGGGCUAUUGGGAAUCCAGGAUGUCCCUGCCACAUCUAAGAUGGCAGCUCGUGUCUGUGGAAACCCCUGGCGCUCGGAAGCUGGCUAAGGCUAGGGUUCUCUUACAUUGGUUAAGGGUGCCACUUUCAGAUAAAAACAUAGACCUGAAUGGCAUCAUCCUGUCUCCAAGGAAACUGUGAACAAAUACAAACAAACAUAUUUACCAACCUACCGUCCUGAUUCUUAUAUGGUGUGGUGGACUAAUUAAUGGUCAACUUAAAUGGGAACUCCCAGCUCAACUGAGUCAGCGUGGUUUAGGGUGUGGACGACCCACAAGAGGGCUGUGGCUGGAAUGGCAUAAAAGGAGAAUGGGAG
rnacentral:lncRNA from 1 species